UAUCUCUGUAGAGUCUGCAUAUCAAUAAGCGGAGGAAAAGAAACUAACUAGGAUUCCCUCAGUAACGGCGAGUGAAGCGGGAAGAGCUCAAAUUCGAAAUCUUCAAGGUUCUACCUUGACGAAUUGUAGUUUAAAGAAGUGUUUUCUGUUGGAGUUUUGGUAAAAGUUCUUUGGAAUAGGACAUCAUAGAGGGUGAGAAUCCCGUAUUUGACCAUUAUUUCCAGCUUUGUGAUACACUUUCAAAGAGUCGGAUUGUUUGGGAAUGCAGUCCAAAAUGGGUGGUAAAUUUCAUCUAAAGCUAAAUAUUGGCGAGAGACCGAUAGCGAACAAGUACCGUGAGGGAAAGAUGAAAAGAACUUUGAAAAGAGAGUUAAACAGUACGUGAAAUUGUCAAAAGGGAAGCGUUUGACACCAGUGUUGUUUCUACGAAAAUCAAUUUAUGAUGGCUUGAUGCUAAGCUUUAAGACUUUAUCCGCUUGUUGUUUAGUUUUCUUGUCUUUGUGAAUGCACUUUUCGUGGAACAAGUCAACAUCAAUUUCUUUUGCUGUAAAAGGGUAAGAGGAAGGUGGCUUCGGCUUCGGUUGAAGUGUUUAUAGCCUUUUAUCUCUGCAGCCGGAGAGAUUGAGGUCUGCAGCGUAGACUCUUCGGGGUUAGAUACGUCGGUGCUAAGCUAUAGCUUUUCAUAGACAACUUGUUGACUAUGUUUAGUCAUGUGGCUUACCCGCUGGCGCUAUUUUACCUACGCUUAGGAUGUUGAGUCAUCACACAUCUCU
rnacentral:rRNA from 1 species